CCUACGGGAGGCCGCAGUAGGGAAUCUUUCACAAUGGGCGAAAGCCUGAUGGCGCAACGCCGCGUGCAGGAUGAAGGCCUUCGGGUUGUAAACUGCUUUUAUAAGCGAGAAAUAUGAUGGUAACUUAUGAAUAAGGAUCGGCUAACUACGUGCCAGCAGCCGCGGUCAUACGUAGGAUCCGAGCAUUAUCCGGAGUGACUGGGUGUAAAGAGUUGCGUAGGUGGCAUAAUAAGUAGCUAGUGAAAUCUGGUGGCUCAACCAUUCAGACUAUUAGCUAAACUGUUAAGCUCGAGACCGUUAGGGGUAACUGGAAUUUCUAGUGUAGGAGUGAAAUCCGUAGAUAGUAGAAGGAACACCAAUAGCGUAGGCAGGUUGCUGGGACGGUUCUGACACUAAGGCACGAAAGCGUAGGGAGCAAACGGGAUUAGAUACCCUUGUAGUC
rnacentral:rRNA from 1 species